UGUUCUAAAGCUGUUGCUGAACUGCAAAUGAGCCUUGCUUCCUACUUUGGCGUUACAGGACUUGCACCUCCAUCUAACACGCAUGUCUACGACCCAUGAACUUUGGAAAUAGCGGCUACGAAUUGUGCUUUAUGUACUUUUAUUUACAUGGGAAAAUAACUGCAACUUUUACAAUUUGUCGUUUUAAGUGUGUUUUAUUUUUACGAUAUCGCUAACUCCCAUUUACAUUACCUUUUGUUCCACAAUUAGACUAACAAAGCAGUAGACGUCGACAAAAAGUAGUUUCAGUUUCGUUUUUGAGAAGAAAUUGGGAGGACAAGCAGUUGCUACGGCUAGCGACUUGGAUUAUUUUAUCGAUAACAACAUCAGUAUACAGUAUGGACAGAACAGCGAUGCUUACCAGUAAACUUAAAGUCGUUUUCUUGUUAAAUGUUUUGGCAUCAUCGAUUCUAGCAGCAGGUGAUGAAGUAUAUGGAAAGGAUGGAGGAGAAAUCACAUUAACCCCAGGCCCAUUCACUGGCUCACUCAACCGCAUCGUUUGGAAACAUGGGGGUGACAAAGCAAUCGAGUGGGAGGGCGGGCAAACUGAUGCUUAUCGUGAGUUCAAAGGUUCCACAUCUCUGGACACAAAAACAGGAGAAAUGACGAUCACAAAAUUAGAUCCAAGGUUUAAUGGAGUUUAUUCAUCCGAUGUAAAUGGCAAUCGAGCUACAAAAAAAUGGAAGCUGACGGUACUCGAUCCUGUUUCCAAACCAAUCAUUGUUGAGAACUGCAAUGAAUCCAUGUGCGUAUUGUCCUGUGAGAAUAAGGCCACCGUUAAAGUUCAGUAUGCUUGGAGAAAGGGUGAAGAAGAAUUGCAGAAGUACGAUAGAACCUUGGUACUUGAGAAGUCUGAUGACACGGUUGGAAAAGCUUACAUAUGUAACUGCAGAAACCCUGUGAGCUUUGCUGUGAGUGACCCAGUCGUCCCAUUUCCCCGAGGUGAUGAAGUAUAUGGAAAGCAUGGAGGAGAAAUCACAUUAACCCCAGGCCCAUUCACUGGCUCACUCAAACGCAUCGUUUGGAAACAUGGGGAUGACAAAGCAAUCGAGUGGGAGGGCGGGCAAACUGACGCUUAUCGCCAGUUCAAAGGUUCCACAUCUCUGAACGAAACAACAGGAGAAAUGAGGAUCACAAAUUUAGAUUCAAGGUUUAAUGGAGUUUAUUCAUCCGAUGUAAAUGGCAUUCAAGCUACAAAAAAAUGGAAGCUGACGGUACUCGGUGAUGAAGUAUAUGGAAAGCAUGGAGGAGAAAUCACAUUAACCCCAGACCCAUUCUCUGGCCCACUCGAACGCAUCGUUUGGAAACGUGGGGGUGACAAAGCAAUCGAGUGGGAGGGCGGGCUACCUGAAGCUUAUCGCCAGUUCAAAGGUUCCACAUUUCUGGACACAGAAACAGGAGAAAUGACGAUCACAAAAUUAGAUUCAACAUUUAAUGGAGUUUAUUCAUCCGAUGUAAAUGGCAUUCAAGCUACAAAAAAAUGGAAGCUGACGGUACUCGGUGAUGAAGUAGGCCUAUAUGGAAAGCAUGGAGGAGAAAUCACAUUAACCCCAGGCCCAUUCACUGGCUCACUCAAACGCAUCGUUUGGAAACAUGGGGAUGACAAAGCAAUCGAGUGGGAGGGCGGGCAAACUGACGCUUAUCACCAGUUCAAAGGUUCCACAUCUCUGAACGAAACAACAGGAGAAAUGAGGAUCACAAAUUUAGAUUCAAGGUUUAAUGGAGUUUAUUCAUCCGAUGUAAAUGGCGUUCAAGCUACAAUAAAAUGGAAGCUGACGGUACUCGGUGAUGAACUGUAUGGAAAGAAAGGAGGAGAAAUCACAUUAUCCCCCGGCUCGUUGUCUGCCUCACUCACCCGCAUCGUUUGGAAACAUGGGGAUGACAAAGCAAUCGAGUGGGAGGGCGGGCAAACUGACGCUUAUCGCCAGUUCAGAAAUUCCACAACUGUGAACGAAAAAACAGGAGAAAUGAGGAUCACAAAAUUAAAUUCAACGUUUAAUGGAGUUUAUUCAUCCGAUGUAAAUGGCAUUCAAGCUACAAAAAGAUGGACGCUGACGGUACUCGAUCCUGUUUCCAAACCAAGAAUUGUUGAGAACUGCAAUGAAUCCACGUGCGUAUUGUCCUGUAAGAAUGAUGCCACCGUUAAAGUUCAGUGUGCUUGGAGAAAGGGUGAAGAAGAAUUGCUGCAGUCCGAUGGAACCUUGAAACUUGAGAAGACUGAUGACAAGGUUGGAAAAGCUUACAUAUGUAACUGCAGCAACCCUGUGAGCUUUGCUCUGAGUGACCCAGUCGUUCCAUUUCGCCCAGUACCUCCAGUUGGACUUAUUCUUGGUUUGCUAUUUCUCAUCAUCAUCAUCAUCGCCAUCGGGGUAAUUGCAUUCAAGAAAAGAAAACAACUGAUGAAAUCCGUGAGGACUCGCUGUGGGACAAGAGGAAAUGCUGCUGCUAAAGAAGGUGGAGCUAAUGAUACAUCACAAAGUAAGUCCUGUUUUUACUCAUAUAUUUAGAACGAGGAACCACAGUGUCAUCCUGCUCUAUUCAAGUAGUAAAUGACUGACAUUGUUAGCCUGUAGCGGUAGCAAGUAAAAAGAAUUGUCUGAAUGCUGUUCAUUUCACCAUACAUAGACUUCCCUUUCAAGAUAACUUGCACCUCAAACACUAUUAUCUGUUUGUUACUUUUCUACCUGUCAAAGGAUUAGUUAAUAUUAAACCUUUUUGAAACCAUUUUGAUAUUCCACAUCGAUCGCAAGGCUAGUUCUACUCUACAUGCACUAUGCGUAUCAGAAAGGACCAGCCAGGCUGCAGGACUCAACACUUACUGUACGACAGGGCAGCCUGUACACAUCAUGUGUGUUGCUUUUGUCAGAUGAAGUGAUGGUGCAUCUCCUGCUGCCUUCGCCCCAGAAGCUUUGGCUUUUUCAUGUGCUCAUAAAUGGCUCUCCCGUAAAUCACAAUGACACGUUUAAGAACUGGACUUAUCGCAAGGGGAAAAAUUGCCAUGAACAAAUUCAUUUUUUGGAUGGAAUAAAAAUGAACAAAUCUGGGGUGGUGGUCUGUAUAUUCUGAAAAUGACUGUUUCUAACAAAUAUGGUUUUACUGUUCCUGAAACCCUGGAUAAUACCAUUGAUGACAAAGCUGAGCCAAUCUAUGUUCCUACUAAUGGUGACAAGCCUGCCAACAGCACGUAACGGAUGUAAAUCCUCAUUUUACCUCAUAUACUGCAGCGAACAAGUUUGUGUCAUCCAGCACUACUGAAAUAGUAAACGACUGAAAUUGUUAGUAUGCAGUGGUAGUAAGAAUAAUUUCAAGCCUGAAGCGUGAAUGCUGUUUAUUUCACCAGACAUACAGUAAUUAUUGUACCCUUCCCAAAUAACUUAGGUUAUGCAUCACCCAUCAAACACUGCAUUUAUUACUUCCUUUCCCCUGCAGUACAACUUCUCAUCUCCCAUCUGAGGAACACAUUCUUAGUGCUUGUGCUCAAUGUUUGCAAAGACCAAAUUAGUGUUUUAUUGCUGCAUUUCAAAAAUAAGUUGUGUGUAAUGACUAUAAAAAGUUGUUCUUCCCCAGCAGGAGCCACUGGAAAGCUGUUGAAGGCCACAAAUAUCGCCAGAUAUGCUUCAGUCCAGCUGCUCGACUGGAGCUCAACAGCCUUCACCUAAGAUUAAAGACUCUCAGGAUGUCGUCAUGGAUUAAAAUGUCUGUCUACUCGUGUUGUGUUAAAUGUGCUAAAUAGAUCAAGCUAUGUAUUCUCGCUCUCCUCGUUCGUUGCACAUUUUUAAUUUUUUAAUUUUUAAAGACACCUGGGUAAAGAUUCCUUCUGUACCGGAAUGUACCAGUGUUCCCUGGAAUGGGCGCCAGUCUGUUACUCGUUUCAGUUUUAUCGUGUUGGUUGAAACCUGCAGAAUAUGCGACACGGCAGGAUGAAGGAAAGGUGGGGUAGAAGGACCGCACGCGCUCACGGUCAAACAAAACGGCAGCUCUGAGCAGUGGCACAGGCUCUCUCCUGCCGACCUCUCCUGUCUGUGAAGGCAUAAAUAGGUAUUGUUAAACCAAGACACCGAUCACAGGUCUUUUCUGAAUGUAACUGCGGAGUACCUUACCGUAGAUCCGUGUUUUAAACAAAGGGCCUGGAAUACGAGUGCAAUACACUUCUGUUUAGGAUGUACGCUGAUUUGAGGUUUUGCAGUCCAAUUCAGCACUCUUUAAAAGAGUGCAUGGAAAUAAGAUGCUGUGAUUGGCAGUCUCUAAGUAAUUUGUACAUAACUUGUCAAUCAUUAGACUAGGGUAUAUACAGUAAGGCUUCCAUCGGCACAUAACAGCAUUCCACUGAUGGUGUGCCAGCCAGCUGGUGCUUCUGUGUAUUUUCACUUUAUUCAGAAGGGGAAAAAGCAGAGAGCGCUCUACUAGAACUGGAAACACAAUGUAGGAAGUGGCAGAGCACUGGAAAUCAAGGCUCUGGCAGUAUGGGUGGAGGGUAGAGAGCCAGCUGCCCUGCUCAGAGCACCACACAGGCUUUUAGCUUCAACUGUUGCUAAAAAUGUUGAGCGUGGUUCUUUCCUGAAUGUGGCACCUUCAUACGUGUCCAAAAUGACACCUAUUUUUGC